GGGCCUAGUGGUUAGAGCCUAGUGGUUAGAGCCUAGUGGUUAGUAUGGGGCGGCAGGUAGCCUAGUGGUUAGAGCCUAGUGGUUAGUAUGGGGCGGCAGGUAGCCUAGUGGUUAGAGCCUAGUGGGUAGAGCCUAGUGGUUAGUAUGGGGCGGCAGGUAGCCUAGUGGUUAGAGCCUAGUGGGUAGAGCCUAGUGGUUAGUAUGGGGCGGCAGGUAGCCUAGUGAUUAGAGCCUAGUGGUUAGUAUGGGGCGGCAGGUAGCCUAGUGGUUAGAGCCUAGUGGGUAGAGCCUAGUGGUUAGUAUGGGGCGGCAGGUAGCCUAGUGGUUAGAGCCUAGUGGGUAGAGCCUAGUGGGUAGAACCUAGUGGUUAGUAUGGGGCGGCAGGUAGCCUAGUGGUUAGAGCCUAGUGGUUAGCAUGGUGCGGCAGGUAGCCUAGUGGUUAGAGCCUAGUGGUUAGUAUGGGGCGGCAGGUAGCCUAGUGGUUAGAGCCUAGUGGUUAGUAUGGGGCGGCAGGUAGCCUAGUGGUUAGAGCCUAGUGGUUAGCAUGGUGCGGCAGGUAGCCUAGUGGUUAGAGCCUAGUGGUUAGUAUGGGGCGGCAGGUAGCCUAGUGGUUAGAGCCUAGUGGUUAGUAUAGGGCGGCAGGUAGCCUAGUGGUUAGAGCCUAGUGGUUAGAGCCUAGUGGUUAGUAUGGGGCGGCAGGUAGCCUAGUGGUUAGGGCCUAGUGGUUAGAGCCUAGUAGUUAGGGCCUAGUGGUUAGAGCCUAGUGGUUAGAGCCUAGUGGUUAGUAUGGGGCUGCAGGUAGCCUAGUGGUUAGAGCCUAGUGGUUAGUAUAGGGCGGCAGGUAGCCUAGUGGUUAGUAUAGGGCUGCAGGUAGCCUAGUGGUUAGUAUGGGGCGGCAGGUAGCCUAGUGGUUAGAGCCUAGUGGUUAGUAUAGGGCUGCAGGUAGCCUAGUGGUUAGAGUGUAGAGGCGGCAGGGUAUACUAGUGGUUAGAGCGUUUGGCCAGUAACUGAAAGGUUGCUGGAUCGAAACCCUGAGCUGACAAGGUAAAACAUCUGUCGUUUCUGCCCCUGAACAAGGCAGUUGUUGUUCAUAGGCUGUCAUUGUAAAUAAGUAUUGUUCUUAACUGACUUAGUUAAAUAAAAGGUUACAAUAGAAAAUCAUUUAAAUGAAAUGCCUGGGGUCUGUCUCUCCAGCUGCACUCAUCAGAGAGAGUCUGGGUCUGAGUAGCAGAACAGGAGUAGAGCCUACACUCAUCUCUCUCUCCCUCCUCCUACCUCAGAGCAUGUUAUGCACACCUGUUUGCCCUCUCUUCCUCUCUCAUAAACAUCCAGUAGAAUUCCCCUUGACUCUCUCAUAAAGUUCUGUAACGACCAUCUGAAGGAAUCCCAUGACAAGUGGCGAAUGCUGUCGGCCUAUUUUCCAGUCCUCUAUCGCUUUAGAACACGUUCUACUGUAGGACAGGCAACAUCAUGAAACACAACAUAGCAGAGGAAUGCCAGGGUUCCCACAGUGACCGUACGUACAUACCCCAACCAGAAGCCAUAGAUUACAGGCAACAUCAUGGAACACAACAUAGCAGAGGAAUGCCAGGGUUCCCACAGUGACUGUACGUACAUACCCCAACCAGAAGCCAUAGAUUACAGGCAACAUCCACACUGAGCUAAAGGGAAGAGCUGCCGCUUUCAAGGAGCGGGACUCUAACCCGGAAGCCUAUAAGAAAUCUGCUAUUCCCUCCAACGAACCACCAAACAGGCAAAGCGUCAAUACAGGACUAAGAUUGAAUCGUACUACACCGGCUCUGAUGCUUGUCGGAUGUGGCAGGGCUUGAAAACUAUUACAGACUACAAAGGGAAGCACAGCCGUGAGCUGCCCGGUGACACGAGCCUACCAGACGAGCUAAAUGACUUAUAUGCCUCCACAUUAUAGCCUCCACAUUGACUCUGUACCGUAACACCCUGUAUAUAGCCUUCACAUUGACUCUGUACCGGUACCCCCUGUAUAUAGCCUCCACAUUGACUCUGUACCGUAACACCCUGUAUAUAGCCUCCACAUUGACUCUGUACCGGUACCCCCUGUAUAUAGCCUCCACAUUGACUCUGUACCGUAACACCCUGUAUAUAGCCUCCACAUUGACUCUGUACCAUAACACCCUGUAUAUAGCCUCCACAUUGACUCUGUACCGGUACCCCCUGUAUAUAGCCUCCACAUUGACUCUGUACCGUAACACCCUGUAUAUAGCCUCCACAUUGACUCUGUAGCGGUACCCCCUGUAUAUAGUCUCCACAUUGACUCUGUACCGGUACCCCCUGUAUAUAGCCUCCACAUUGACUCUGUACCGGUACCCCCUGUAUAUAGCCUCCACAUUGACUCUGUACCGUAACACCCUGUAUAUAGCCUCCACAUUCACUCUGUACCG
ensembl:lncRNA